rnacentral:rRNA from 1 species
CUGGCGGCGUGCUUAACACAUGCAAGUCCAACGAGGCACUUUACCUGAUUUCCUUCGGGGAUGAUUGUUCUGUGACUGAAUGGCGGACGGGUGAGUAACGCGUGAAUAACCUGCCUCACACAUGGGGAUAACAGUUGGUAACGGCUGCUAAUACCGCGUAAGCGCACAGCACCCCGUGGUGCAAUGUGAAAAACUCCGGUGGUGUGAGAUGGAUCCCCGUCUGAUUAUCUACUUGGCGGGAUAGCGGCCCACCAAGGCGACUAUCACUAGCCGGCCUGAGAGGGCGACCGGCCACAUUGGGACUGAUACACCGCCCAUACUCCUACGGGAGGCAGCAGUGGGGAAUAUUGCACAAUGUGGGAAACCCUGAUGCAGCUCACGCCGCGUGAUGCGAUGAAGUAUUUCGGUAUGUAAAGCUCUAUCAACAAGGAACAUAAUGACGGUACCUGACUAAAAAGCUCCUGCUACAUACGUGCCAUCAUCCGCAGGAAUACGUAUGGAGCAGGCCUUCUCCUGAUUUACUGGUUGUACAGGUAGCGUACUGCGUCCUGCGAGUCUGAUGUGAUACGUCGAGGCUCAACCCCGGGACUGCAUUGCACACUGGAGGACUAUAGUGUCUGAGGGGUAAGUGGAAUUCCUACUGUAGCGGUGAAAUGCGUAGAUAUUAGGAGGAACACCAGUGGCGAAGGCGGCGUACUGGACGACUACUGACGUUGAGGCUCGAAAGCGUGGGGAGCAAACAGGAUUAGAUACAGUGGUAGUCCACGCCGUAAACGAUGAAUACUAGGUGUUGGCAGGUAAGACCUGUCGGUGCCGCAGCAAACGCAAUAAGUAUUCCACCUGGGGAGUACGUUCGCAAGAAUGAAACCCAAAGGAAUUGACGGGGAUCCGCACAAGCGGUGGAGCAUGUGGUUUAAUUCGAAGCAACGCGAAGAACCUUACCAAGUCUUGACAUCCCGGUGACAGAACAUGUAAUGUGUUUUCCCUUCGGGGCACCGGUGACAGGUGGUGCAUGGUUGUCGUCAGCUCGUGUCGUGAGAUGUUGGGUUAAGUCCCGCAACGAGCGCAACCCUUAUCCCCAGUAGCCAGCAUUUCGGAUGGGCACUCUGUGGAGACUGCCAGGGACAAUCUGGAGGAAGGUGGGGAUGACGUCAAAUCAUCAUGCCCCUUAUGACGUGGGCUACUCACGUGCUACAAUGGCGUAAACAAAGGGAAGCGAGACCUCGAGGUGGGGCAAAUCCCAAAAAUAACGUCCCAGUUCGGAUCGUAGUCUGCAACUAGAGUACAUGAAGCUGGAAUCGCUAGUAAUCGCAGAUCAGAAUGCUGCGGUGAAUACGUUCCCGGGUCUUGUACACUCCGCCCGUCACCCCAUGGGAGUCGGAAACGCCCGAAGCCGGUGGCCUAACCGCAAGGAAGGAGCCGUGGAAGGCAGGUCUGAUAACUGGGGUGAA